UAACAAUCGUUACCUUGCGCCUCAAGUAACAAAGAGCAAACACAAACGCUAAAACCGCGAGAAGUAAAAUUGCAACAGAGAUAACGAUGAGGAGGAAGACCGUCUUCGUGACUCCUUUAGGCUUCUUUCGAGUCGGUGGUUCAGGAGGUGGUUGAAAGUGAGUGACGUCAUCACCAAUCCCUUGGUAAGAAGACGGUGGGAACCUUAGCAGCCAGCUCGGUAACGGUCCGUGGAGGUUGUUGUUAGACAGAUCAAUCUCUUUCAAACUCGAGAGCCCAUUUAGCUCAUCAGGAACCACACCGGAGAGAGAAUUGUUAGCGAGGUUCAACGACUGUAACCGUUUCAGACCAGAGAGAGAGACAGGAACUGUUCCAUUGAAUCUGUUAUUCGAGAGAUUUAAACUAACGAGCUUCUUCCAUACGGAGAAGUCCAGAGGCAACGGGCCGGAGAAGUCGUUGUCCUCGAGGUAAAGAAAGGCCAAGUCUUUAAGCCCAGCGAGGCCCAUAGGGAAUGGGCCUGAGAGUCUGUUGGACCUGAGGCUGAGGACUCUGAGGGCAGAGAGUCUGCUUAUGGUGUUGGGAGGAAUCUGACCGUUGAGUCCGAUCGCUGGCAAUCUAAGGGCUAUGAUUCGAGAUUCGUUGUGGUUGCAAGUGACUCCUGUCCAGUUUUUGCAGAGGGGAGUGGUCUCGUUCCAGUUGAGAGAGCGUGUUGGGCGCGUGAUGGUUAGAAACUCGAGUAACGCGCGUUUGUCUUGUGAAGGAUCUGCUUUUGCUCCGGAGAUGAUUAGAUACAGAGAGAAGAGAGUCCAUAGAGAAAGCCUCCACGCUUCCAUUGCUGGUUCUUUGUGAAGAUAAUGAUGAUGAUGGGACUAUAAAUGGAGAAAGUUUGGAUGAGAAACUUUAAUUUGAAAUAAAAGGGUACAAAAGGGAGAUUUCUAGAAAACUGGGGAUCAAAAAGUAAAAGGGAAUCUCAAGUAAACAAAGAGUGGGAGACAGAAGAAGAGAGUAGCUUCGGUAAUAACGAAAUGAAAGUCAUGUUUUGUCUUUGUUGUACAUUCAAAAGCUUUUUUUUUAAUUUUAAACUCUUCGAAAUCGAAACCCUAGAAUUUCUGGGAAUUAUACAACAGUGUCAAAAAAAGUAGGACUCUUAACUCUCUAUUAAGGGGUUAAAAUUAUUUAAAAUAAAGAAAUUGAUACCUCCAGAUCUGAACUUUUACGAGUCUUUUUAAUUUAUUUUUUCUAGUCACGCACGCCGUUUCUUCUCGAGAAUCUCGAUCACGUCUUUAACUUGAAGAACACGAACUUGAGAACCACCAUUGAAGCACUGAAGAUGGGCAUUCGGGGUCUCAAUCGGGUUUCGGUUUUUCGGGUUUAUCAAAAUCAGUCCCAUUUGGGUUACAUGAAAAUUCGGUUCGGGACCGGUUCGGGUUCUAUCGGGCUCCGGUCGGGUUUAGUAAAUCUUCAAGGAACCAAUACAACCCGAUGUACUUUCGGGUUCAAGUCCCAAUCGGUUCUUCGGUUUAAAUGUACCUGAUUUAUAUCUGUUUUGUAACCAAAAAGUAACUAAAAUCGGUUCUUCGGUUUUAAAAUACUUGAUUUCUACCUAUUUUGUAACCAAAACAUAAAUAAAAUCGGUUCAAAAAAAAGAGCAUCAAAUAUAAUCAUUCAUAAUCAAGUGAAAGGUAAACAUAGUUAUUGAUCGAAAGAAAACCAAAUAAAUGAAAGCAUGAAACGAAAAUCAUGUUGUCAUGAAAUAAAAAACAUUAUUCAAUGAAAAAUAAAAUUCAAAUAUAAAAACUUCAACUUUCAACCGCCACCUUUAACCAUCAAUCUUCAUAUAAUAGAUAAUUAUUUUAGAUGUUCAAUAUAUUUUGAAUACAUAUUAGGAAUUGAAAUCAUGUUUGGUACAAGUUCUUUUUGAAAAUUUUGAAUGUUUCGAGUUCUAUCGGGUAUCUAUUUAGGUUCGGGUUCGGUUCGGAUAAUACUCAUAACCCGAAAUACCAUAAAACAAGAUCCAUUCGGUUUUUAUGUCGAGUUCGGAUCGGUUCAGAUUCAUUUUAUCGGAUCGGGUUUGGUUCGGAUUUUCGGGUUCGGUUUAUUUGCCCAGUCCUAGUAAGAAGUGAGCCUAACAAUCUUCACUGGCAGCCGAAACAAUAAUGGCUAAUGGGCUAUGAAGCCCAUUAGGAAAAGCUAAUUUAGAUGAGUUUCUGAAACUUGAGAUGUUUCUUUUUCUGUUUUCCUUAAUUCAUUCAUACUGACUUUUGAAAAACCAAGAAUCCCUAGCCAGAAAUGUGUUGAAUUAAACCGGUUCUAACCGAAGAAGAGAGGAUCAACAGAAGAGAGUAUACAAACUUCAUAUAUCAACAGCUUCUUCAUUUUCUGUAGAUUCAUCAAGUUUCACUCGGCGUGGAAGUCUCGGAGGCCUCCUUUUCUGGUUUAGUCUCAAGACUGGCUCGUCGGUUUCCGACACUCUCCAUAAGCCUAACCAAAUCAGACAUCUUCGGUCUCUGGUCAGGUGCUUUGACAACACAGGACAUAGCAAUCUGCAACAUCUCAACCAUCUCUUCCUCUAUGUUCGUAUACCUCAAAAGCUCCACGUCAAAAACCUCCGCAGUCCAUUCCUCUCUCACUACCGAAUGUACCCAUCGAACCAAAUGUAUAAUCUCAUCUCCUGUCCAAAAAUAAAAAAAAUCAUUAAACCGAAGAUAUUAUAAUAGUAUGUUAUUUAUUUUUCUUGUUUGUAACCAUUACCUGCGGUAGUGUGAAUGGGGGAUUUUCCGGUGAGUAGCUCGAGCAAUACAACACCAAAACUAUAAACAUCUGAGAGUUGAGAAGACUUCCUUGUGUCUGUUACUUCCGGCGCACGGUAACCAGCUUGCCUAGAGAUGGGUGGAGCCAAGGCGCUCAUGACAGCUGUUAAACCAAGAUCAGACACGCAUCCGUAACGCUCUGAGUUCAAGAAUAUGUUGGAAGACUUGAUGUUCCCAUGUACGAGCUUUCCAUUGUUCUCUUUGUGGAUCCUAGCGAUCCCUUUAGCCGCACCAAUCGCAAUCUUCAUCCUCGUUUCCCAAUCCAACGGAACCCGGUUCUCUCCUCGGUUACCUGCACCAACUAAACCGGUUACUAAAAUUAAACCGGAAACGAGCCUAACCAAAGCUAAUAACACAUUACCGUGAAGCAAAGAAGCCACACUUCCACUGCUGAAGUAAUCAUAAACCAUAAGCUUCUCGUCUUUAGAGUAAUAAUAAGCCUUAAGCUCCACGACAUUCUCGUGCUUAAUCCCUCCAAUAAUCUCCAUCUGCUGCUCGAAAUCGCGUUUCCCAGCCGCAACGUCUUUAAGCCGUUUCACAGCGACGGAAGUCGCAUCCUCAAGAACCGCUUUGUACGUCGUCCCAAACGUGCCUUUACCAAGAAUCUCAGCGGAAGCUCUCAAGAGAUCCUCGAGAUCGAACGAGUAGCUGCAUCCUUCGAAGAAAGACAACCUGUUGUUAGCCUCCUCCAUCCUCGAAUCAAACUUCUCCGGAGACAUACCUCCUUUCUUCUGCAGCUUAUGGUCCUUAACAAUCGUUACCUUGCGCCUCAAGUAACAAAGAGCAAACACAAACGCUAAAACCGCGAGAAGUAAAAUUGCAACAGAGAUAACGAUGAGGAGGAAGACCGUCUUCGUGACUCCUUUAGGCUUCUUUCGAGUCGGUGGUUCAGGAGGUGGUUGAAAGUGAGUGACGUCAUCACCAAUCCCUUGGUAAGAAGACGGUGGGAACCUUAGCAGCCAGCUCGGUAACGGUCCGUGGAGGUUGUUGUUAGACAGAUCAAUCUCUUUCAAACUCGAGAGCCCAUUUAGCUCAUCAGGAACC
rnacentral:lncRNA from 1 species